UAAUAUUGCCUCAAAUUUCAAUUUUCCACAAACGUUUUCCUCUAAGUGGAAACACUUACAAGCAUGAUCCAAUAAAAAAGUUUAGGGUCGGGAUUUCGACGUCCAAAAGCCAGGUAGGGUCGGGAAACCGGAAACCCACAUAUUUUUUUUGGCCUAAGGCUUCCUCACAAAAGAUUGUUUAAAAAAAAAGGAAAAAAAAAGAAACGUCGAAAUUCUCUUUAUAUUUUUCAAGUAGUUGCAUCCCUACGAACGAAAGCUUGUUCAUACUAUUAAAACUACCUACACUGGC